rnacentral:lncRNA from 1 species
UGAAAAUUACAUAUAAGAUAAACAUUACUGGCAGCAAAAAAGGACGUAAUGGACCACACCUGACCAUCAAUGAUUUACUUCAGUCAACAUUCAGUUUCCAAAUCCUAUCAACCAUAUCCUCACAAGAAAAUUUAUCUUCCCAUCUGUUUGUUCUUGAGGCUCCGGCCCCUCUACAGGCCCUCUUCCUCCUCUGCCUCCUAGAAGAUUUCGUAACAAAAGCAAAAAUGGACAAGGGAGACUACAUCAAGCUAAAAUGCUUCUGCACAGCAAAAGAAACAAAAUGAAAAGGCAACCUAUGGAAUGGGAGAAAAUAUCUGCAAACUAUGUAUUUGAUAAGGGGUCAGUAUUCAAAAUAUAUAAAAACUCACACACCUCAGUAGCAAAAACAUAAAUCUGAUUUUUAAAAAUGGGCAGAGGAACUGUGUAGACAUUUUUUUUUCCCAAGAAGACAGGUCAACUGUUACAGGAAAAAAGUGCUCAACAUCACUAAGCAUCAAGGAAAUGCAAAUCAGAACCUCAGUGAACCAUCACCUCACACCUGUUAGAAUGGCUACCAGCAAGAAGACAAGAGAUAACAGGUGUUGGUGAGGAUGUGAAGAAAAUGUGUGCUGUUGGCGGCAACAUAACCGGCGUAGGCACUCUGGAAAACAGUACCAAGGUUCCUCAAAACAUUAAAAAUAGAAAUACCAUAUGAUCCCGCAAUCCUAUUUCUGUGUAUAUAUCCAAAGAGAAUGAAAACAGGAUACUGACAAGAUAUCUGCACUCUCAUGUUCCUUGCAGCAUUAUUUACAAUAGCCAAGACAUGGAAACAAGUGUCCAUCAAAAGAUGAAUGGAUGAAAAUGGGGUAUAUGUAAUUAUACAUGCAAAAUGUGCAAAAUGGAAUAGUACUCAGCCAUGAAAACAAGAAGGAAAUCUUGCCAUUUGCCACAACAUGAAUGGACUUUGAGGGCUUAAACUAAGUGAAAUAAGUCAAAGAAAGACAAAUACUAUGUGAUCUCUCAUGUGUAAAAUUUAAAAACAUCAGACUCAGAAACAGAGUAGAAUGGUGGUUGUCAGAGUCUGAGGGUGGGGAAAAUGGGGAGAUGUUGGUCAGAGAGUACAAACUUUCAGUUAUAAGGUGAAUAAGAUCCAGGGAUCUAAUGCGCAGCAGGGUGACUAUAGUUAACAACAAUGUAUUGGAUCCUUCAAAGUUGCUAUGAAAGCAGAACUUUGACGUUCUUACCAGAAUAAUAACAACAACAAAAUGGCAAUGAUGUGUUGUAAAGGAUUUGUUAACUAGCCUUAUUGUGGUAAACAUUUUGCAAUGUAUGUGAAUAUAAAAUUGUCACAUUGUACACUGACCGGUGAGCAGGACGUGGGCACUUGGAGGUUUCUCACCCCACCCCACCCCAUCCUUGGAAUGUAGGUUCUGCUUGCCUUUCCUGCUCUCUUCUGCUCCCAGAGGCUGCUCCAACGACAGAGCCUUGAGAUAGCAAGGUGAUGUUGAAAACACCUGCAUGGUACAGGUAACUGAACCUAGUUAGGGCCUCUUUGUAAGCUUUUAAGAUUUGGAGGAUGUAUAGGGGGAUCCAUUUACCUUACUGCCACCCAACACAAGCCUCUUAUGUAAGUUCCCUUUGCUGUUAUUAAAGUUGCCACCUACCACCUACCUGCCUCUUUCUUCGUUCUCUCCCUGCCCUCCGCAUAUGGGGGCCAGUUUCAGCCUACACCAGGAUAGCUCCCAAGAACGUUGUAAACCUGCAUAUACCGUACAAGAUCUCAGAGAGUAGCCUGAAAUUUUUCAUUCAUUUCCUUUAAAUAAAUGAGAGUCAUCCAUUUUAGAACUUAGCA